rnacentral:rRNA from 1 species
AUGGAGAGGGUGACAAAGCUGUCGUCCGAGAAAGCGGUGGUGAUCUUCACCACGAGCAACUGCCCGAUGAGCCACUCGGUGACAAGCCUCUUCUCGAGCCUCGGCGUGGGCGCCGCGGUCCACGAGCUGGACAAGGACCCACGCGGCCGCGACAUGGAGCGCGACCUCGCCAGACGCCUUGGGCGUACGCCGCCCGUCCCGGCAGUCUUCAUCGGCGGCAAGCUCGUCGGCUCCACCGACAGGGUCAUGUCCUUGCAUCUCAGCGGGAAGCUCGUGGUCAUGCUCAAGGCCGCAGGAGCCAUGUGGCUCUGA